UACGAGUGGUCCUAGCGUUAGUCGGAAUCACUGGGCUUAAAGGGUGCGUAGGCGGGUCUGUAAGUGCUUUGUGAAAUCCCCGGGCUCAACCCGGGAAUUGCAGGGCAUACUGCGGAUCUUGAGGAAUCUAGAGGCCGGCAGAACGAUAGGUGGAGCGGUGGAAUGCGUAGAUAUCUAUCGGAAUGCCAAAGGUGAAGACAGCCGGCUGGGGAUUUCCUGACGCUGAGGCACGAAAGCGUGGGGAUCAAACAGG
rnacentral:rRNA from 1 species